GGAGGAGGAGAUUUGUAGAGGUAAGGAUGGUGUGGAGGAGAGUAGUGGUGGACUGGAGGAGGAGGAGGUGAUUUAUAUACGUACUUUUCCUUUGGUGGCGGUGGGGAAUGGUAAACUGGAGGAGGAGAAUAGUGCUUAACCGGAGGAGGAGGGGAUUUGUAUACGUAGUGCUUCUUUGGUGGGGGUGGGGAAUGGUAAACCGGAGGGGGAGAGUAGUGCUUCACCGGAGGAGGAGGGGAUUUGUACACGUAGUGUUUCUUUGGUGGUGGUGGAGAGUGGUAAACCGGAGGAGGGGAGUAGUGCAUAACCGGAGGAGGAGGAGAUUUGUACACGUAGUGUUUCUUUGGUGGUGGUGGAGAGUGGUAAACCGGAGGAGGGGAGUAGUGCAUAACCGGAGGAGGAGGAGAUUUGUACACGUAGUGUUUCUUUGGUGGUGGUGGAGAGUGGUAAACCGGAGGAGGGGAGUAGUGCAUAACCGGAGGAGGAGGAGAUUUGUACACGUAGUGUUUCUUUGGUGGUGGUGGAGAGUGGUAAACCGGAGGAGGAGAAUAGUGCAUCACUGGAGGAGGAGGAGAUUUGUAGACGUAAUGUUUUUUAGGUGGGGGUGGGGAAUGGUAAACAGGAGGGGGUGUGUAGUGUUUAACCGGAGGAGGAGGAGAUUUGUAUACGUAAUGUUUCUUGGGUGGUGGUGGUGAGUGGUAGACUGGUGGGGGAGAGUAGUGCUUAACCGGUGGGGGUGGAGAUUUGUAGACGUAGUCCUUCUUAGGAGGUGGUGGAGAGUGGUAAACCGGAGGAGGAGAAUAGUGUUUAACCGGAGGAGGAGGGGACUUGUACACGUAGUGUUUCUUUGGUGGUGGUGGAGAAUGGUAAACGGGAGGAGGAGAGUAGUGCUUAACCGGGGGUGGAGGGGAUUUGUACACGUAGUGCUUCUUUGGGGGUGGUGGAGAGUGGUAAACCGGUGGUGGAGAGUAGUGUUUAACUGGAGGAGGUGGAGAUUUAUAUUCGUAGUGUUUCUUAGGUGGUGGUGGAGAAUGAUAAACCGGAGGGGGAGGGUAGUGCUUAACCGGAGGAGGUGGUGAUUUGUAUUCGUAGUGCUUAACAGGUGGUGGAGGAGAAGAAUAGAAGUAGUUAGCGGUUGAUUGAGAUACAAAGGUGAGAGAGACUGUUAAAACAAGCAAAGUUGCUGCUAAGGAGGCCAUUGGAGACCCCAUUGAUUGUUUUGUUG
rnacentral:lncRNA from 1 species